rnacentral:rRNA from 1 species
AUACGUAGGUGACAAGCGUUAUCCGGAUUUACUGGGCGUAAAGGGCGUGUAGGCGGUCUUGCAAGUCAGAAGUGAAAUUCCUGAGCUCAACUCGGGCGCUGCUUCUGAAACUGCAGGACUUGAGUGCUGGAGGGGAUAGCGGAAUUCCUAGUGGAGCGGUAAAAUGCGCAGAUAUUAGGAAGAACACCGGUGGCGAAGGCGGCUAUCUGGACAGUAACUGACGCUGAGGCGCAAAAGCGUGGGGAGCAAACAGGAUUAGAUACCCUGGUAGUCCACGCUGUAAACGAUGAAUACUAGGUGUAGGGGGUAUCGACUCCCUCUGUGCCGCAGUUAACACAAUAAGUAUUCCGCCUGGGGAGUACGGCCGCAAGGUUGAAACUCAAAUGAAUUGACGGGG